rnacentral:rRNA from 1 species
UCCAGACUCCUACGGGAGGCAGCAGUGGGGGAUAUUGCACAAUGGGGGGAACCCUGAUGCAGCGACGCCGCGUGGGUGAAGGAGCGUUUCGGCGCGUAAAGCCCUAUCGGCAGGGAAGAAGGAGGACGGUACCUGACUAAGAAGCCCCGGCUAACUACGUGCCAGCAGCCGCGGUAAUACGUAGGGGGCAAGCGUUAUCCGGAUUUACUGGGUGUAAAGGGGGCGCAGACGGCAGCGCAAGCCAGGAGUGAAAGCCCGGGGCCCAACCCCGGGACUGCUCUUGGAACUGCGCGGCUGGAGUGCAGGAGGGGCAGGCGGAAUUCCUGGUGUAGCGGUGAAAUGCGUAGAUAUCAGGAGGAACACCGGCGGCGAAGGCGGCCUGCUGGACCGCGACUGACGUUGAGGCUCGAAAGCGUGGGGAGCAAACAGGAUUAGAUACCCGAGUA